UACGUAGGGUGCGAGCGUUGUCCGGAAUUAUUGGGCGUAAAGAGCUCGUAGGCGGUCUGUCGCGUCGGCUGUGAAAACCCGGAGCUCAACUCCGGGCCUGCAGUCGAUACGGGCAGACUGGAGGUAUGCAGGGGAGAACGGAAUUCCUGGUGUAGCGGUGAAAUGCGCAGAUAUCAGGAGGAACACCGGUGGCGAAGGCGGUUCUCUGGGCAUGUCCUGACGCUGAGGAGCGAAAGUGUGGGGAGCGAACAGG
rnacentral:rRNA from 1 species